AUUGAACGCUGGCGGCAGGCCUAACACAUGCAAGUCGAGCGGAGCGGAGGACGGGUGAGUAAAGCCUAGGAAUCUGCCAGGACGUGGGGGAUAACGACUGGAAAUGGGCACUAAUUCGGGAUACAAUUAGAUGAGCCUUGGGCGGAUUAGCUAGUUGGUGGGGUAAAGGCCUACCAUGGCGAGGAUCCGUAACUGGUCUGAGAGGAUGAUCAGUCACACUGGAACUGAGACACGGUCCAGACUCCUACGGGAGGCAGCAGUGGGGAAUAUUGGACAAGGGGCGAAAGCCUGAUCCAGCCAUGCCGCGUGUGUGAAGAAGGUCUUCGGAUUGUAAAGCACUUUAAGUUGGGAGGCGUUACCAACAGAAUAAGCACCGGCUAACUUCGUGCCAGCAGCCGCGGUAAUUC
rnacentral:rRNA from 1 species